GGUGGUGCCCUUCCGUCAAUUCCUUAAGUUUCAGCUUUGCAACCAUACUUCCCCCGGAACCCAAAAGCUUUGGUUUCCCGGAAGCUGCCCGCCGAGUCAUCGGAGGAACGUCGGCGGAUCGCUAGCUGGCAUCGUUUAUGGUCAGAACUAGGGCGGUAUCUGAUCGCCUUCGAACCUCUGACUUUCGUUCUUGAUUAAUGAAAACAUUUUUGGCAAAUGCUUUCGCUUCUGUCCGUCUUGCGACGAUCCAAGAAUUUCACCUCUAACGUCGCAAUACGAAUGCCCCCAUCUGUCCCUAUUAAUCAUUACCUCGGGUUUCCGAAAACCAACAAAAUAGAACCGAGGUCCUGUUCCAUUAUUCCAUGCACACAGUAUUCAGGCGAAAUUUUAGCCUGCUUUGAGCACUCUAAUUUGUUCAAAGUAAACGUGCCGGCCCGCCUCGACACUCAAUUAAGAGCACCGCGACAGGAUUAUUGAGUCGGAUGGUAGAGCGCCUGCAACCCCACCACAUCAUACAGUAACAACCGAAGUUGCACACGCACAAUGGGGAAACAUACAGGGUCCACGCAUCCACCGGCAGGACGUUCCGCGGACGUGCCAGUUAAACACCGCGGGCGGUGAACCGACAGCGCGGAACACAAAUUCAACUACGAGCUUUUUAACCGCAACAACAUUAAUAUACGCUAUUGGAGCUGGUAUUACCGCGGCUGCUGGCACCAGACUUGCCCUCCAAUGGGUACUCGUUAAAGGAUUUAAAGUGUACUCAUUCCGAUUA
rnacentral:rRNA from 1 species